rnacentral:rRNA from 1 species
CAGUAGCCACGGUAAUACGUAGGGCGCAAGCGUUAUCCGGAAUUAUUGGGCGUAAAGAGCUCGUAGGCGGUUUGUCGCGUCUGCCGUGAAAGUCCGGGGCUCAACCCCGGAUCUGCGGUGGGUACGGGCAGACUAGAGUGAUGUAGGGGAGACUGGAAUUCCUGGUGUAGCGGUGAAAUGCGCAGAUAUCAGGAGGAACACCGAUGGCGAAGGCAGGUCUCUGGGCAUUAACUGACGCUGAGGAGCGAAAGCAUGGGGAGCGAACAGGAUUAGAUACCCGCGUAGUCCCUGUCUCUUAUAC